rnacentral:lncRNA from 1 species
UCUGGAACAAAGGCUGCCCAUUAGAGGGGUCUCGCAUCAGGCAGAAUGGCCCAGCUCGAGUGCUCCCACAAUGCUAGCCAUGGGCUGGGGAUGUGUGACCUUGGUGGGAGGGCAGUGGUGGAUCCAAAGGUGUGGCAGCUGGAGGCUGUCAGUUAGUUUUACUCUCAAGACUUGAGCGGUACACCUCCGUGCCUACCACAGAGACACGUAUCUCCACAUCUUAAACAGGGUGCUGUUAGGGAGAGGAGGAAGUACCUAGCCAUUUCAUGCAAGGAAAGGCGUGCUUCCCAACUGCUUGGAGAGCUUGGCAUGUAUCACCUGGGGUUUGGGGACAUGCAUGAACCCAGCGAUGGCUGCAUGAAUCACACAUGAGAAGUUUCAAGGAGAGAGGCUGGUCAGAGCUGCUUGUGAUCAGAGAAACGGGGGAGUGGACUGCAGUGGUACUGACUCGCGCUUCUAGAGUCUGAUGGGCAAAAAUGCCAAGUGUUUGCUAUGGGUCAGCACACACAUGCUGGAAGGUUGUUGGGUCUGCCCACCAGGGCCUGGUGACCCCGCAGAGGGUCUUUGUGAGGUGGACAGUCCUAGGAGAGAAGUUGACCUGGAAGCUAGGACCAGGGCCUAGUGCAGGGGAGGCUCCCACCCUGCCACCCUGGAGAACCAGUCUUCAUAGGGCUAGCUGGGACGAUGCAGAACAAGAAAGAAAACGGCACUUCCCCGCCCCACGCAGGCUUCUGAGGGCCAGGCUGCGAGGUGGUGGGCGGUGGGCGGUGGGCGGUGGGCGGUGGGCGGUGGGAGGGGUGUGGGGAUCGAUCUGGAUCGAAACUGAAGUUUUGAUUUGGAUUGCACAGGACUUUUUAAUACCAGAGCAUCAGACUGUUUAUUAACACCUGAAAGUGAAAAGGAAAAGCUAUGAAGUUUGCCCUAGAUUCUUCCAGAGAAGGGAGAUCUGACAGAACAAUUUUAAAAGACAGUGGUGUGGGGAAAAAGUACUAUUUCAUGAUUUCCCUUCACCAAGUAGCCCAGCUUGUUUAAAAAAAUUAAGUGAUAUGAAAUAUUGCUUAACAUGGUAGUUUGCAAAAAGACACCCCUACCUUAAAAACACCGCCACCUACACAGCGCACCAUCGUUUCCCUUUUGUCACGGUCAAUGUGCCUUCCAUUGCCGUCUGAACCAGAGGGGGCAGCUCUCUGACCUUGCUCGCCUUUUCAAACCUUCUAGGCGCACUGCUUACAGGAGCCGGGAGCAUUUCAGGAGGACUGGAAGGGCCUUCGAGAAGUCAUUAUUUAUUCAUAAGAGCGGUCAAGGCUGUGCAGAACCUCUCAAACAGUGUUACGUACAUAUGGUGUUCAUUAAACACAGAAAUAAACCUGAUUCUAGAAGGAAACGCCGGCCUUUUCCGCAAACAUUUCCCGAGAUCAACUUUGGGCCCCUUGUGCAUCAGGAAUCGACCGCCCUCCAAGUUCUCCCCAAUGCUCAACCCAAAUUCCUCCUGCUGCACAGAAUUCGAAGCUGCUCCCUCUUCUGUCCUAGGAGGAAAACAGCGGAUCCCAUCCUCGAAGCCCCCUGACCCGUAGCCCCCGCCUCCUCAGUCUUACUCCUUCUUUCCUCUGGGGUCGCUGGGACCCCGCUCGGGGACCGCGGUGGCGCAGCGGGGCCGCCCCCGGCGCUGCGCCCACAGGCCUACCCCGAGGUGGAGGCAGCCGGCGCGCACCGUGGCCCCGCG